AAGCCAUGCAUGUCUAAGUAUAAGCAAUUAUACAGCGAAACUGCGAACGGCUCAUUAUAUAAGUUAUCGUUUAUUUGAUAGUGCCUGUCCUACUUGGAUAACCGUGGUAAUUCUAGAGCUAAUACAUGCUAAAAAUCCCGACUUCGGAAGGGAUGUAUUUAUUAGAUUAAAAGCCAAUGCCCUUCGGGGCUCUAUGGUGAUUCAUAAUAACUUCACGGAUCGCACGGCCUUGCGCCGGCGAUGGUUCAUUCAAAUUUCUUCCCUAUCAACUUUCGAUGUUUGGGUAUUGGCCAAACAUGGUGGCAACGGGUAACGGAGGGUUAGGGCUCGACCCCGGAGAAGGAGCCUGAGAAACGGCUACUACAUCCAAGGAAGGCAGCAGGCGCGCAAAUUACCCAAUCCCGACUCGGGGAGGUAGUGACAAUAAAUACUGAUACAGGGCUCUUUUGGGUCCUGUAAUUGGAAUGAGUACAAUUUAAAUCCCUUAACGAGGAACAAUUGGAGGGCAAGUCUGGUGCCAGCACCCGCGGUAAUUCCAGCUCCAAUAGCGUAUAUUAAAGUUGUUGUGGUUAAAAAGCUCGUAGUUGAACCUUGGGCCUGGCUGGCCGGUCCGCCUCCCCCGUGUACUGGUCCGGCCGGGCCUUUCCUCUGUGGAACUCCAUGCCCUUCACUGGGGGGGGCGGGGAAACAGGACUUUUCUUUGAAAAAAUUAAAAUGCUCCAGGGAGGGCCUUUGCUC
rnacentral:rRNA from 1 species